rnacentral:rRNA from 1 species
UACGAAGGGUGCAAGCGUUAAUCGGAAUUACUGGGCGUAAAGGGUGCGUAGGCGGUUUGUUAAGUCUGUUGUGAAAUCCCCGGGCUCAACCUGGGAAUGGCAAUGGAUACUGGCAAGCUAGAGUGUGUCAGAGGAUGGUGGAAUUUCCGGUGUAGCGGUGAAAUGCGUAGAGAUCGGAAGGAACAUCAGUGGCGAAGGCG